rnacentral:rRNA from 1 species
CCUACGUGAGGCAGCAGUGAGGAAUAUUGGUCAAUGGACGAGAGUCUGAACCAGCCAAGUAGCGUGAAGGAUGACUGCCCUAUGGGUUGUAAACUUCUUUUAUAUGGGAAUAAAACAGGGUAUGCAUACCCUUUUGUAUGUACCAUAUGAAUAAGGAUCGGCUAACUCCGUGCCAGCAGCCGCGGUAAUACGGAGGAUCCGGGCGUUAUCCGGAUUUAUUGGGUUUAAAGGGAGCGUAGGGGGAUUGUUAAGUCAGUUGUGAAAGUUUGCGGCUCAACCGUAAAAUUGCAGUUGAAACUGGCAGUCUUGAGUACAGUAGAGGUGGGCGGAAGUCGUGGUGUAGCGGUGAAAUGCUUAGAUAUCACGAAGAACUCCGAUUGCGAAGGCAGCUCACUGGACUGCAACUGACACUGAUGCUCGAAAGUGUGGGUAUCAAACAGGAUUAGAUACCCCGGUAGUC